rnacentral:lncRNA from 10 species
UUUUCUGAUUAUAUACGUAAAACUUCAACACAAGUCACCAAGCAUCAUGUUCGCAAGAUUCAUCCUUGAGACAUGCGUCACCCCUUUUUGUGUGAGGAGGAAGCGGCAGCUACACCCCUAGAAGCAUUUAGGGGGUGUCGAGGAACCAACACAUUGAGUCUCCGUGAGGUCAUUGGGUACUGACAACAAUCCAAGGGGCAGUAAGGAAAGAAUGAUUCAUUUUGACUGUGAUUGCUGGGAAAGAUAUCUUGAAAUGGAGACUGUGAGUAGGUCCCUUCUUGCUCUAUUCUGAAGACAGCUCCUACGACACUAAUUCAAGGAUCAGUGGCUGGAUUCGAGAAAAAAUGGAAAACGGUUGUUGCAAGGGUGUCAACUGCUUGGAAUGCUGCCGGCAACCGGGUUCUGAGACUCCCUAGGCUUUCUGAAAGCAUCUGAAUGUCUGUCCAACUGCAAGCUACGUCAUGGAAACAGGACCGCCCUGAGGGGCUCUCCAAUAUGAAUGCCAGGGCUGCCAGAUUCCACAGACAAGAAUAAAGGGCAUCCAGUGAAUUCUGAAUUUCAGAGAAGCAGCAUUUUUUUCAUUAAAAGUGGAUGAAGUUUUGUGUUUGCUCUACUGACCUGAAGUGAGGAACAACCACAUACAUCUUUGUCUUCACUCUGUCCAGCUGUCAACUGCAUUGUUCCCUCACGUCUUCCUGCAAAGUACCAUUAUUUCCACACCUUAAGAAUUAAAGAGUGAAGAGAAAACGACAAAAUGUUCUUGUUUAUCAGGAGAUGGGGGUGAGCUGAGCUUUCCACAAGGUCCUGAAUGGAUGAGAAGGACCCAAAACAUAUGGAAAAUAUGGAGAAUAGGGUAUAAGUAAUAAAAAUAAAAAUAAAAUAAAUAAAAUAAAUUGGGAAU